rnacentral:rRNA from 1 species
GACGAACGCUGGCGGCGUGCUUAACACAUGCAAGUCGAACGGUAAGGCCCUUCGGGGUACACGAGUGGCGAACGGGUGAGUAACACGUGGGUGAUCUGCCCUGCACUUCGGGAUAAGCCUGGGAAACUGGGUCUAAUACCGGAUAGGACCACUGCCUGCAUGGGUGGUGGUGGAAAGCUUUUGCGGUGUGGGAUGGGCCCGCGGCCUAUCAGCUUGUUGGUGGGGUGAUGGCCUACCAAGGCGACGACGGGUAGCCGGCCUGAGAGGGUGACCGGCCACACUGGGACCGAGAUACGGCCCAGACUCCUACGGGAGGCAGCAGUGGGGAAUAUUGCACAAUGGGCGCAAGCCUGAUGCAGCGACGCCGCGUGAGGGAUGACGGCCUUCGGGUUGUAAACCUCUUUCAGCACCGACGAAGCGCAAGUGACGGUAGGUGCAGAAGAAGGACCGGCCAACUACGUGCCAGCAGCCGCGGUAA